GCUUUCAUUAAGAAAUUUUGUUUUUUAAAUGCAUCGUAUGUCUCGAUCCCGUCAUUCCAUAAAAUUUUCAAUUCAUCAAUCAAAGGGGAUAGAUAAAUGUCAAUUUCUUUCUUUGGACUAUGAGGACCGGGGAUCAAAAUAGUCAAGAACAUGAAUGGUUGUGUGUUGCAUAUCCACGGUGGAAGGUUGUAUGGGGUAACGAUAACUGGCCAACAUGAGUACGGCAUGCUCGAAUGACCAAAUGGAUUAAAUCCAUCAGUGGACAAACCAAGUCUCACAUUUCGAAUAUCUGCGGCAAAACUUUCGUGAGUACGAUCAAAAUAUUUCCAAGCUUCGCCAUCGGCUGGAUGUCUAAUUUCAUUGGCGAUAUCUUUCCGACAUUGACUGUGCCAAAUCAUUUCCUUUGCAGUAUUUGAACAGUGGUAUAACCGUUGAAGUCGGGGUAUCAAAGGAAAGUAUCUUAAAAUUUUAAAUGGUAUUUUCCGACCAGUAGAAGUUAUUGUCUGGUACCUAGGGUGUCUGCAUGUCGGACACUCAGUUAUGUUUUGAUGGUCCUUGCGAUAUAAGAUGCAGUAAUUCUGACAUGCAUCUAUUUUUUCAUAUUUCAUCCCAAGUUUAUUCAAUUUUUGCUUUAUUUUAUAAUACGAAUUUGGAAGAUUAUUCACUUCUGGUAAGGAUGAACCCCAUAAUUCCAAAAUUGUAUCAAUGGCAACUUCAGGUAUUCCAUAUGUUGAUUUGAUGCACAUAAUUUUUGACAAUACCUCUAGAGUUUUAACUUUACAUCCAUCAUACAAUUUCUGAUUUGCACUCUCUAACAAAUUGUAAAUAUUUUGGGCAUCAACAUUGGGUAAUUCAGUAUGAUGGUCAUCGAUAACGAAGGGUCUACUUGCAUCAUGAACCAUAUUGACUAUUGGAUUGUUAUUACUAGAUCCAACUUCAAAGGUAGUAUGACCGUAUUCUUCGAAAAUUUCUAUCCGUGCUUUUUUUCUUGAGCUAUCGAUUUCACCAUGUUGAUGCCAAAUAGAAUAAUCAGCCAUGAACCCGUUUUUGUAAAGGUGAAUACCCACUUCAUCUAUUGAAAAAUAAAAUGAAUAACAACAUGCAAAGCAAGGGUACUUUAUUCUUUCAAAUCCAAGUGUUUCUCUUGCAAAUUUCAAGAAAUGAGGGACGCCAUUGCCAAAUUCCACCGUUAGAUGACCCUUUGAAUCUUGCCGGUUAUACAUCCAAGUUCGAUCAUCAUCCGUCAUUCUAAGAAUUUUAAACCAAUACAAUUAGUUUUUAAACCAAUACAAUUUUAAAGCUAAGGAUUUGGCUCAGCAUUGCCCAUUUUUAAUUCCAGGGUUUCUCUGAAUUUGAGUUGAGGCCCUAAUUUUCCCAUGGAAUUAAUAAAAUAUCCAAUAAAACAACAUGGGAAUUAAUAAAUUUUCCCAUGGCUUAGUAUAUACUUUUAGAUCCAACAAAACAAAAGGCAGUUAUAUGUAUAUGUAUAAGUUUCUAUUAUAAGUAUAGAUGAUGUAAUGCAGAGAACAGAGAAAUCUAUGUUUUUUUACCCUAUCAGUACUAUAUCAGUAAAUAGAUGAUGUAAUGCAUGUUUGAAUGAAAACAUAAUCAAAUCAGAAUAACAUCAAUCGUGAUAUUCAUUCAUAAAAAUAGAAAUAGAGAAUCGGGUCAAAUUAAAAAAAAAUGAAGAGAAAUUAAAAUAGAAACAAAUGAACAGAUUUUGAUGAAAAUAGAAAUAAAGAAUUUUUUUAGGGAUUUAACAUAUUUUUUAGGGAUUAAACAAAUCGUGGACAAACAAAUGAACAAAUCGUGGAUUUAACAGAUCUAUUUUUGUCCCAAACCAAACUAAAAGAAAAUAAGAAUAGAAUACACAUUACCGUGUAGGAUGGGAGUGCCGGAGUGGAGAUAGACUUGUGAAGUACAGGGAUUUAGCAAAUCACUGCCGAGAUUAGGGAUUUAACGUCGCAGCUGCCGGAAGAAUUCGACGUGAGAAAACUGCCAAUUAAGAGAACCACAAUUAAGAGAGAAAACUGGCAUGUCCAGAGAAAACCAGAUUUGAGGUUCAACUGGUUAUUCUAUAACUGGUUAACUUUCAAAACAAAUGAAACAGAGCAUGUGAAAGAUCUGUCUAAGAUCUGUCUAAGAUCCAGAUCUGUCUAAGAUCCGCAUACCACAAAUAUUUUUAUGUUAGCAUAUGCGACAGCAUAAGAAACCUUAUUUAAAAUAAAGAUUUCAAUGGGUAAAUUAUGUUCACAAUCAUAAUCAUACUAUACUACCAAUCUCUUUAUCUAGUCUCAUUGUUCAUACUUCAUACUUAAUCAAAUACUAAACUUUGACAGAGGAAAUAAUUGUCUCAUUGUUCAUCAUCAAUGGAUCGUCUAGUUUUAAAUCAUACUUUUACAUGUAUUCUUGCAUAAAUAUUUCUUGUUCCAUAUUUUCGUUUUUUCCUAAAUUUUUAUUUCUUAAUGUAUUAACCAUGUAUCUAGGCUGCAACAAAUUUUUCCAUUGUUAAAUAUUGAAUCUUGCUGCAUCACCAAUUCACCAUGUAAAAUCACAGAUAUACAGUUUGAUAACUUGAUUCUCCUUUAAACAUUGCAUUAUGGAUAUGUUAAACACUUUAAUUUUUAAGCAUUUUCUUCCUUAGUAAUUAUUUUGAAGAUUGUCGAUGCUGAUUUUUGUUAAUGAGGAUUUUUAAUUUAACGUUUUUAUGUUUACUUUUCUAUAGGUGGUUCACACUCAAGCCAAGGUUGUAGGAGAUCAGGAUGUGAUGUAUAAAUAUAUUUCUAAUAAUGCACUUUUUAAAGCAACGGCAAGUCCAGAAGCUGUCGGAGAAAUUGGAACAGCAAUUCCUGAAGAAGCUCGAUUAGUUGUGUAUCUCAUUGAUGCUGUAAGGGUGUUUCAAGAAACACUAUUUUCAGAACAAUUGUGAGGGUAUUUCUCUAUUUUCAGAACAAUUUUCAGAACACUAUUUGUAUCCAAGAAACACUAUAAGAGUGAGGGUGUUUCUCAACAAUUGUUUCAUUGUCUCAAAUAUGGUAAUGACUAAUAGCCUAUACUACACAAUUUGGGCUGUCACACUUCAUUAUCACAUGCAACAUUUUUUCCUCUUCUCAUAUGGUAAUGUAUAUAUUUCUAAACCAAAUGGCAUGGGUGGAUGUAUUUUGUAAUGCAUUAAUGCACAUGCACACACAUGGAGUGAGCUAUAUCUUACUUGUUUUCAAAAUAUGGAAUGAUCAGGAUCGUUGAUCCUUCUGAAUUAUGCAAUUAAGCAACCCAUAAAUCCAUAAUUUCGUAAUAAAGAAUUAAAGAUUGUGAACACAGCUGGAACAGAUAUGUCAUCCUGGGAAAGGAAACCAGCACCACUCGAUCUAUAUUUUCAAUCAGGGCAUUAGGAAUUCAGGAUGCCGCAUAUGCCAUAUAAAAUUAAUCAUUAGGAAUCAGGGCAUUACUUAAUCAUGUUUAAUAAAAUAAAUAUCACUAAUGGCCGAUUCAUUUAUUAGGUUAAAUGGAUUCCGCAUAUGCCAUAUAACACCAGAUAGGGUGAUCGAAUUCAUCAUACCUAGGACGAAUCAAGAUACCACAGAGGAAUCGCUGCUGCAGUUGUCGCUGCUAUGCGUGGUCGCUGCUGCAGUUAGAAUCGCCGCGGCCAUGUGCAAUCGUCACUGCUGUUGGGGGGGAAUGAGGGGAACUCGUUUGCCGUUGGGAGGGAAUGGGGGGGGUUUCGGGGUUUCGGGAUAGUUUUAAUUUAGGGUAUUUUAGUUUUAUUUUUUCACUUGAACACGAUUUGGGGUUUUUAUUUUUUUAAUUUAAAAUAUCAUUUAAAUAUCUUUUAAAAAAUAAAGUUAAUAAAUAUUUUUAAUUUAAAAUAUCUUUCUAAUUUAAUAAUUAUUUUUUAUAUUUAAAAUAUUCACUAAAUUAAAAAGAAGUUAUUUGGAAUUUAUAACUUUCAAAUAACAUUUAAAUUUAAUUUUUCACUUUAAAAUUUAAAAUAUAAAAAAAAACUUUAAUUUAUAACUUCUUUAAUUUUUUUUUAAUUUAAAAUAUCUAAUUUAUUAAAUUUAAUUUUAGAAUUUAAAAAUUAAAAUUUAUUAAAUUAGACUAAAGUUAAUAUUAGAAAUUGAUAUUUUUAUAAUUUAAAUAAACAACUAACCCUAACCCUAACCUACUUUUAUAAUUUAAAAUAACUUGAUAUUAAAUUUAAAUUGAUAUUUAUAAUUUAAAAAUAUUAGAAAUUGAUAUUUUUAUAUUAGAAAUUUAAAUUGAUAUUAAAUUAGACUAACUCUAACCCUAACCUACUUUUAUAAUUUAAAAUAACUUUUAUAAUACUUGAAUUUGUAACUUAAAAAAUUAAAAUACCUUCUUUAAAUUUAUUUUUUAACUUUAAAAUUUAAAAUAUCUAAAAUAACUUCAAUUUAUAAUUUUUAUAAUUUAAAUUUUUAUAAUUAUCUAAUUAUAAUCUAACUUUAAAUUUUUUAUAAUUUAUAAUAUCUAAAAAACUAUAAUCUAACUUCUUCUAACCCUAACUUCUACUUCUAACUCUUACUUUUAACCCUAAUUUCUAACCCUAACACUAUCUAAAUAUGUAUAUAUACUUAUUUUUACAAAUUUUUGUUAAUUUCUAUUAAUCCUAAUCCUAACCCUCACCCUAACCCUAACCCUAAUUAUUUAUAUUUACAUUAACCCUAACCCUAAUUAUUUACAUUUAUAUUAACCCUAACCCUAUUAUCAUUAUUAGCCAGGGCUAAAUGACGUGGCUAAUAUCAGUGGCUAAUUUAUUUGUCAUUAAAUUAGCCACGGCUCCUAAAUCCGUGGCCAAAUUUCAGUGGAAAAUUGGAGGGAAAUUUUGCCGGAAAUUUUAGCCACAGAUUUUAACAGCCGUGGCUAAAUAUUCAAUGAAAAAUUGGAGGGAAUUUUGCCGGGAAAAUUAGCCACGGGAUUAGCCACGGAUUUUUGCAUCCGUGGCUAAAUAUAAAGAUUAGCCACGGGCUUAGCCACGGUUAAAAAAGCCGUGGCUAAUUGUUAGAAAUUAGCCACGGCUUCUGCUGGCCGUGGCUAAUCCCGUGGGCGUAGCCCAGUUUUCUUGUAGUGAUCGUAUGUCUCGAUCCCAUCAUUCCAUAAAAUUUUCAAUUCAUCAAUCAAAGGGGAUAGAUAAAUGUCAAUUUCUUUCUUUGGACUGUGAGGACCGGGGAUCAAAAUAGUCAAGAACAUGAAUGGUUGUGUGUUGCAUAUCCACGAUGGAAGGUUGUAUGAGGUAACGAUAACUGGCCAACAUGAGUACGGUACGCUUGAAUGACCAAAUGGAUUAAAUCCAUCAGUGGACAAACCAAGUCUCACAUUUCGAAUAAUUCCAAAAUUAUAUCAAUGGCAACUUCAGCUAUUCCAUAUGUUGAUUUGAUGCACAUAAUUUUUGACAACACCUCUAGAGUUUUAACUUUAAAUCCAUCAUACAAUUUCUGAUUUGCACUCUCUAACACAUUGUAAAUAUUUUGGGUUUCAAUAUUGGGUAAUUCAGUACGAUGGUCAUCGAUAACGAAGGGUCUACUUGCAUCAUGAACCAUAUCGACUAUUGAAUUAUUACUACUAGAUCCAACUUCAAAGGUAGUAUGGCCGUAUUCUUCGAAA
rnacentral:lncRNA from 1 species